rnacentral:lncRNA from 1 species
GCACUUCUGGAUGCCUAGGCCUCUUCCGUUUGCCUCUGGGACUGGCGAUACUCGAGAUGUCUUGAGGCCUUCCAGACCUUGCUCCACCUCCACCACCAGGUCUCCAGUCCUGAGCCACAUGCUGCCAUUUUUGUCUCAGAAGCACCCCUCUUCCAGGUGGAAGAUUGAAGGUCUGAAGAGUGGGAAGUCCCAGGAACAGGCAAUUCCAGGAAGAUAUGAGGAAAAUCAAGAAAGAGAAGGAAACUGAAGCUAGUGGGAAGUGCUUCAAGUUGGAGAUGAUGCUGAGAUGGCCAAAAAGUGAGAGGUGGAAAACAUUUGGAUUUUCAAACCUGAGUGAAUGAAUGAAUAAACGGACCUGGGAAUUGAUCAACAAUGGCUGCUGCAUCGCGUAAAGAGAGACGACCAGGUGUCAGCUGGCUGUCAACUGAUCUAGGAUGGUCUUGGAGGGACAACGAGGGCAACCCCAUGUCUCUUCUUUAGCAGGCCAGCCCAGACAUGCUUUCAUGGCUGAAUAGGAGCCAGCCUGGUCAUGGGAGCAAUUUUCAAGCAAGUCUCUGCUUGAAUGUCACAUUUACUAACAUCCUGUUGGCCAAGGUGCAUCCCAUGGCUGAGCCCAGUGUCCAAGUGAAAGGGCACCAGGAAGUUCCCUGCAGCGCUGUGGGUACUGGAAGAAUGGGCGCCAUCUUCAUGACAGCAGCAUGCUAAGUUACAGAAAGUGAGCGGCGUUCUAGACAAAGCAAGCUCAUCUGUGAAUGGAUCAUGGCGGAAACCUGACCACAGUAUGUUGGGAUUUAUGUGUUUGACAUUUUCUAUAAUAGAAAGGCAGAUCAAAAAUAAGGCUCCAGUGCCUCCACUCAGGAAAGCUCAAGUAGGUUUUCUUGAGAAUUUUUAGUGGAUACCCUGUUUUGCAAUGUUCUUUUCUUUUUCUAAUGAGGCUGAACCAGAUUGUAAUGCCAUGAGGCUUCUACAUGGAGAGCUGGACGUUGGUGAGGAUUGGGUGGAGAAGGCCGGGUGGAGGCUGGGCCUGGGAGAAGAGCAGCAGAUUCCCAAACGUACUGGUAUUGGUGCAUACUCUGAGAAAGACAUCUCAGAGCACUUCUGCCGUCAGUUACGAAGUUUCAAUAUAAGAAUUCUUUCUACA